GCAUCCUUUCGCAGCCCAUCAACGUCCAGCCUUCUUCGCGAGACAAGCAAGCUCUGAUCGAUUUCGUCCUUCAGCCAUCACAUCGCAUCCUUGGUUUUAGUCUUCGGAUGGGGAUAGGUUUCGGUUUUCAUGCUGCUGUUUGAUUUCUGGAUCUCCCUGUUGCUGAGCACAGCUCUCGGCUUUUUGGUUGUCUUUGUGUUAAAAGAUAACUUACAAGAGGUAUCUGAUAGUAUUAUGACGCAAUUGAACAUUACAAGGUUCCACAACGCAUGCUUUUAUCUUCUUCUGCUCGUAGAUUCCUGUGUUCAAAAUGCCAUUCAUUAUGUUCUCCUCAAGUUUCUUUUAUUCUUUGAGGUGGUUGUGCCAUGGAAUCUUAAUACUCGAUCCUCAAAUAAUUCGGUGGUGGUCACUCAAAUUCAGGCACCAAAAACA